rnacentral:rRNA from 1 species
UACGAAGGGGGCUAGCGUUGUUCGGAAUUACUGGGCGUAAAGCGCACGUAGGCGGAUAUUUAAGUCAGGGGUGAAAUCCCGGGGCUCAACCCCGGAACUGCCUUUGAUACUGGGUAUCUCGAGUCCGAGAGAGGUGAGUGGAAUUCCGAGUGUAGAGGUGAAAUUCGUAGAUAUUCGGAGGAACACCAGUGGCGAAGGCGGCUUACUGGUCCAUUACUGACGCUGAGGUGCGAAAGCGUGGGGAGCAAACAGG